CAAGUGCGACCUCUGAACGGGUUAUUAUAAUAUGAAUAAAAAAAUUUCAGAUUUUGGAUUGGCACGAAUCGUUGAAGUGACAGAGUAUAGCAAAUACGCACAAGGUCGUGGAAACACGUAUGUCUCCAAAGUAUGCCAUGGGUGCGAUAUUUUCUGAAAAAUCUGAUGUCUAUAGUUUUGACGUCUUGCUAUUGGAGAUUAUCGCCAACAAAAAGAAUACUAGCUUCUAUUGCAACGAGGAACAGCAUGGAUUCUUAGCUCAUGCAACAUUCACGAUAUGACUUUUGCCGGGUUCGGCACUUAUGGAAUGAAGGCAGGGGACUGGACUUGCUAGAUGAAGUACUGUUGGAUUCAUAUUCGUCCUCAGAAGCAAUGAGAUGCAUACACAUCGGACUCCUUUGCGUGCAGGACAACUGGACAAGUCUGAAGAUAGGCCAACCAUGCCGGACGUAGUUUUCACUAAGUAGCUUUCGAUCAAAGGAACACUUGAGCCUUAUUGCAUUUGUAAGUACACACAUGAUGUUUCAAAUGCGAAGUGCACGCUAUUACGUCUCUAAUUCGUAGCUGCAACAUUGGAACGGUACUUUGGAAUGUUUUCAGUCACCCACAUAUUCUCAUACUAUUGUAUAUGCAAAGAUAAGAGGACUACGUUUUCAGUCAAAUGUCAAACAUC